UAGGGAAUCUUCGGCAAUGGACGAAAGUCUGACCGAGCAACGCCGCGUGAGUGAAGAAGGUUUUCGGAUCGUAAAACUCUGUUGUUAGAGAAGAACAAGGACGUUAGUAACUGAACGUCCCCUGACGGUAUCUAACCAGAAAGCCACGGCUAACUACGUGCCAGCAGCCGCGGUAAUACGUAGGUGGCAAGCGUUGUCCGGAUUUAUUGGGCGUAAAGCGAGCGCAGGCGGUUUCUUAAGUCUGAUGUGAAAGCCCCCGGCUCAACCGGGGAGGGUCAUUAGAAACUGGGAGACUUGAGUGCAGAAGAGUAGAGUGGAAUUCCAUGUGUAGCGGUGAAAUGCGUAGAUAUAUGGAGGAACACCAGUGGCGAAGGCGGCUCUCUGGUCUGUAACUGACGCUGAGGCUCGAAAGCGUGGGGAGCAAACAGG
rnacentral:rRNA from 1 species